rnacentral:rRNA from 1 species
UGCGAGUCAUAUGUUCUUCGUGAACAUGGCGUACUGCUCAGUAACACGUGGAUAACCUGCCCUUGGGACCGGGAUAACCCCGGGAAACUGGGGAUAAUACCGGAUAACGCAUAUCUGCUGGAAUGCUUUAUGCGUAAAAUGGAUUUGUCUGCCCAAGGAUGGGUCUGCGGCCUAUCAGGUAGUAGUGGGUGUAAUGUACCUACUAGCCUACGACGGGUACGGGUUGUGAGAGCAAGAGCCCGGAGAUGGAUUCUGAGACAUGAAUCCAGGCCCUACGGGGCGCAGCAGGCGCGAAAACUUUACAAUGCGGGAAACCGUGAUAAGGGGACACCGAGUGCCAGCAUCAUAUGUUGGCUGUCCAGAUGUGUAAAAUACAUCUGUUAGCAAGGGCCGGGCAAGACCGGUGCCAGCCGCCGCGGUAACACCGGCGGCCCGAGUGGUGAUCGUGAUUAUUGGGUCUAAAGGGUCCGUAGCCGGUUUGGUCAGUCCUCCGGGAAAUCUGACGGCUCAACCGUUAGGCUUUCGGUGGAUACUGCCAGACUUGGAACCGGGAGAGGUAAGAGGUACUACAGGGGUAGGAGUGAAAUCUUGUAAUCCCUGUGAGACCACCUGUGGCGA